CCUCCUGAACUUACUGACACCCGCAAAGCAAGUGAAAACAGGGAACGGGACACAGUGGAAGUUCUGACUGAUUCGGACUGCGCAGUCUGUUGAGGAUAUGGAGUGGGACACAAACUGAAUUGAAAAGCCAAAGUGGGACCAGAGCCCUAAACCCAGGAUACAGAGUGAACCAAAAAAAGAACCAGACCUUGACCGCUGGACUAGGAAACAAAGAGAGAACUCACUCAUACCACGCUCACACUACAACAGCUUUUGCUGGAUUCCAGGCAGACAUUCUCUCAACUAAUGACUCAAUAGUGAAUCCACACACUGACCGAGGAAAACGACCUAUUGCACAACCUGCUGCAGAAGAAAAGACGACUCGAACGAGGAAUUGAAAGUCCCUAGCUGUUUGGUAUUUCGAUUUUUUUUAAAGGUAUUAUACAUAAAGGUGGUAUAUGGAGGUGAUGUGGACACCAAUGGGUUCCAGUUCUCUAUCCUCCACUUCAGCCCUGUUGAUGGGCAUAAUGGCACCCCGGCCCCUGCCUUUCCUAAAGAACCACGCUCUGUUCCAUCAUCUUGAUCAGUUCCGUCAUCUUGCUGAUGUCGAGAGAGAUUGUCCCGGCGCUUCACUGACAGGUUCCUGACCUCUUUCCUAUCAGUCGCCUCAUUGUCAUGAUCAGGCCCUACCACCACUGUGUUGUUCAGACGGUUUAAGACUGUGUUGGAGUUAUGCACUGACACUGACUGUAAACUAAUUGAGAUUACUGUGGUUUGUCACGCGCCAUAUUGCCACGGUUCACCGACUUUCUGAAUUAUUGUUUUGCCCACACUCCGCAAAUGUCAUAACAUCCGAUCCCUGAUCUGACCUCAUCCGAAACAACUACACAGGACGUUUGGGAGACUCGGUUUCAUCCGCUGCACAUCUCCUCUAGCUGCUCUGCUUCUCAUGACACUGCUCUCCACCUGGAAUUGUUUUCUGUCACUGACGCACUGGAAGAGACUAUAUUAUUUAGCAAACAAUCACAAUUUAACUUGCAGGUGCUUGUCCUACUUAAUGGAUUCUGUAGAAGGCUACAUUGCAACAUCCAUCCAUUCACCCAGUGUAGUGCUCGGCCACUUUACUACGCCCCCUGCAGGACUCCUGGCCCAGCUACGCUGCGGACACAGAUUCUUCUUGAUGCCCUGCACCAUGUUUUUGUUUCCCUCCCAUUACUUUGUAUUUGUAUUUUGCACAAAAUUGGCGGGUUGUUCCUUUGUCUACUUCUUUAACCUUACUGUUUGUUUCCUCCCUCCCAAGUGGAAAGUCGAUGCGUUCGUUCAUUGACACUUCGUUUCAUUCCCAGAGUUUGACACGGUAACGGCUGUGUGGUACAGCAAGCAGUGGUGAGAGUCAGUAAAACCUGAAAUCUGAUAUUAGCAAACAGAGGAUCUCCUUUGACAGUUUCGACAGUUACAUUUUCAGCAGCUCCCAAUAAAGAAGUGCCAGGAAUAAGACAGGGCACACACACACAAACAUACACACACAAACGGGCACACACACAGAUACAUACACGCACACACACACACACACACACAGGAAAAUAAGAGGAUACAGUAUUGUUCUAGGAACCUGACAGUUAGGCCUGUCAUUAUUCAAGCUGAGACAGUGAUGGAUAUAGGAUGCCAAAGAGAAGGGUUAGGAUCAGUGUCACUCAGCCAGGUAUCAUUUAAAUGAGCCUAUAUGGUGACUGCAAUGGCAUGGAAACACUUUAGUGAAUGAUGCCUGAAUUGCUGUAACCUAAGACGUAUGGUCCUGCUGUAAUUGUAUUGCAUUAUUCCAUCUAACCGGCGAAGGCAGAGUAAGGCAUAGAACAACUGCUAGGCACAGGGAUUACAAAAUCAUUGCUUACAAUACUGCAAACGUCUUUGUUUUUGGUCAUUAUUAGCUUCGUUCCUGGCUGGCACCAAACUGAAACAGCCAGUAAAUGAUGACCAGAAAUAAAAGGAAUGUUCAAAUCAUUUUCUGUGAGAAAUAGAGAGGGUGUUUGCGUGUUCAGAUUUUGCUCAGAGGACGUAGGCCUACCUUACCAUUGGAAGCUUUAAAUAACUGUAAGAAAGUCAUGUUGCAGUUUGUGUUUUUCCUUACCUUACAAUAAAG